GCAGGGAGGAGGUAAGGGAGGAGGUGGUAGUAAAGAAACCUUUAGACUGAAAAAUGUAAAGAUACAAUAUGAAAGGAGAAAAAAAACAACAAAAGAACCCACCAUGGAAGUUUCAACCCACCACCACCACAUGGUGCCAAAAACUUCAAAAUGGAACAUUUCUUAUAUUGGCACAUAUUUUUGUGAGAACAAACAUAUGGUUGUGAGCAUAUUCUUACCUUCAUUGUGAUCUGCAUAUUUCCUCUCUGCAGGAAAAUUUAAAUGCACUGUUGACAUCGUUUUAUAGUCACAUAAGAAGAAAGCAGGCAAAGAAAUGUUAUGAUUGGACUUAUUCAUGAGAUACCACAGUCUCUAAUAUAUGAAGUUUUUCAUAUUUACACUACUGGUGAAUCUCUAGUUGUAUACCUGCCUCUGUGGUCUCAUUGUUGGUCCCUAGGAUAGCUUAUAAAUAAAAACAGAUGAUACUGUCUACUGGCCAGAACAAGCUCACAACUCACUUUCUACUCCAUUCUCAAGUGACUAUGUAGAGAAAGAUGGAUGGUUGAGGUCAGGAUUUGGAGUUCUCUGGCUAACUGCAUAUUAACUUUGUUAUCAUCGCCAAUAUUAUCACCUGACAGAGAAACAGACUUGAUGGAUUUGGGCUUUAGCCCUGACUUCAUCACAAAUAAACAGUGUCAUCUUGGAUGCUAA
rnacentral:lncRNA from 1 species